AUUGAACGCUGGCGGCAGGCCUAACACAUGCAAGUCGAGCGAGCGGCGGACGGGUGAGUAAUGUCUGGGAAACUGCCUGAUGGAGGGGGAUAACUACUGGAAACGGUAGCUAAUACCGCAUACCAUCAGAUGUGCCCAGAUGGGAUUAGCUAGUAGGUGGGGUAACGGCUCACCUAGGCGACGAUCCCUAGCUGGUCUGAGAGGAUGACCAGCCAACGUGGAACUGAGACACGUGCCGGACUCCUACGGGAGGCAGCAGUGGGGAAUAUGGCACAAUGGGCGCAAGCCGGAUGCAGCCAUGCCGCGUGGGCGAAGAAGGCCUUCGGGUUGUAAAGCACUUUCAGCGGGGAGGCGUUACCCGCAGCAGAAGCACCGGCUAACUCCGUGCCAGCAGCCGCGGUAAUUC
rnacentral:rRNA from 1 species